AUUGAACGCUGGCGGCAGGCCUAACACAUGCAAGUCGAGCGGAGCGGCGGACGGGUGAGUAAUGCCUAGGAAUCUGCCUGGUAGUGGGGGAUAACGUACGGAAACGGGCGCUAAUACCGCAUACUAUCAGAUGAGCCUAGGUCGGAUUAGCUAGUUGGUGGGGUAAUGGCCUACCAAGGCGACGAUCCGUAACUGGUCUGAGAGGAUGAUCAGUCGCCUUGGAACGUAGACGCGGUCCAGACGCCUACGGUAGGCAGCAGUGUGGUAUCUUGGACAAUGGGCGAGAGCCUGGUCCAGCCAGGCCGCGUGUGUGAAGAAGGUCUUCGGAUUGUAAAGCACUUUAAGUUGUGAGGCGUUACCAACAGAAUAAGCACCGGCUAACUUCGUGCCAGCAGCCGCGGUAAUAC
rnacentral:rRNA from 1 species